ensembl:lncRNA
GGCCUGAUCGUAAUUUCUUUGUGUGUUAUCCUGUGUUUUAUGUAGGAUUCUGUAGUGUAUAGAGUGGACCUAUUUCUUUAAGUGGAAUCACUCCCCUUAGUGACUUCUGAUUGGUAAUUAGCCGUGCGCAUGGAUAUGUUGUUUUGCGCUUGCUCUGGUUAAUACAGGAGUUAACUUUACCUCCGAGUGUCUCCUUUGUUUUUUUCUUAAGUUGUAGUCUAACAUAAAGACACAACCGAUUCGUUUUAUUCCCUCUGCUACGAUCUCCUUAUUUCCACUUUUUAUGUCUCCAUUGUGCAGACUAAGAAUGGAGUUUAUUUUCUUCAUCUGGUGAUCAGUGAGUAAUCCUGAGGCGUAAGGCCGCUCUUGCCCCAGAGGCUCGGACCUCGACCUGAGUGGAGGUUUUUCUUGGGAGGAGCGGCAUGUAUCUUUCUGUGACAAAGUCAAGCAGACGCCUUAAUGCUCACCAGGGAGUUUAUUCUGAGUCUGCGCUCAGCUGUGGAUCAGUUGACCCUGCGUGAGACAUUCCUGUGGAAUUACUGCAAAGCUCCAAGAGAACUGUGGAGAUAUUGCAGAAGCCCAACAGAGCCUGGCCUUCAGCAAGUAAAACCAAUAGGAAACGGGGUAAGCACGGAGGAGUAAAGUGUAGAUUGAAAGUGCACCAAAGAUUUAC